rnacentral:rRNA from 1 species
UACGUAGGGGGCAGGCGUUAUCCGGAUUUACUGGGUGUAAAGGGAGCGCAGGCGGCAGGGCAAGUCAGAUGUGAAAUACCGGGGCUCGACCCCGGGACUGCAGUUGAAACUGUCCGGCUGGAGUGCAGGAGAGGCAGGCGGAAUUCCUAGUGUAGCGGUGAAAUGCGUAGAUAUUAGGAGGAACACCAGUGGCGAAGGCGGCCUGCUGGACUGUAACUGACGCUGAGGCUCGAAAGCGUGGGGAGCAAAC